rnacentral:rRNA from 1 species
GACGAACGCUGGCGGCGUGCUUAACACAUGCCAGUCGAACGAAGAGCGAUGGAAGCUUGCUUCUAUCAAUCUUAGUGGCGCACGGGUGAGUAACGCGUAAUCAACCUGCCCUUCAGAGGGGGACAACAGUUGGAAACGACUGCUAAUACCGCAUACGAUCUGACCUCGGCAUCGAGGAUAGAUGAAAGGUGGCCUCUACAUGUAAGCUAUCACUGAAGGAGGGGAUUGCGUCUGAUUAGCUAGUUGGAGGGGUAACGGCCCACCAAGGCGAUGAUCAGUAGCCGGUCUGAGAGGAUGAACGGCCACAUUGGGACUGAGACACGGCCCAGACUCCUACGGGAGGCAGCAGUGGGGAAUCUUCCGCAAUGGACGAAAGUCUGACGGAGCAACGCCGCGUGAGUGAUGACGGCCUUCGGGUUGUAAAGCUCUGUUAAUCGGGACGAAAGGCCUUUUUGCGAAUAGUGAGAAGGAUUGACGGUACCGGAAGAGAAAGCCACGGCUAACUACGUG